GCCUUCGUGGUGUAGUGGUCAGCACGCUGGGCGCGUAUUCCAGAGGUCCGUGGUUCGAGUUCCGUUAAAGGCG
rfam:Stegodyphus mimosarum contig68910, whole genome shotgun sequence.